GUGGGGAAUCUUGCGCAAUGGGCGAAAGCCUGACGCAGCCAUGCCGCGUGAAUGAUGAAGGUCUUAGGAUUGUAAAAUUCUUUCACCGGGGACGAUAAUGACGGUACCCGGAGAAGAAGCUCCGGCUAACUUCGUGCCAGCAGCCGCGGUAAUACGAAGGGGGCUAGCGUUGCUCGGAAUUACUGGGCGUAAAGGGCGCGUAGGCGGACAGCUUAGUCAGAGGUGAAAGCCCAGGGCUCAACCUUGGAAUUGCCUUUGAUACUGGCUGUCUUGAGUUUGAGAGAGGUGCGUGGAACUCCGAGUGUAGGGGUGAAAUUCGUGGAUAAUCGGAAGAACACCAGUGGCGAAGGCGACUCACUGGCCCAAUACUGACGCUGAGGCGCGAAAGCGUGGGGAGCAAACAGGAUUAGAUACCCUAGUAGUCC
rnacentral:rRNA from 1 species